rnacentral:rRNA from 1 species
GUCCAUGGUCUAGAAAUCCAAAUCCUUGCUGGUACUUGGAUGGGAGACUGCCUGGGAAUAUCGGGUGCUGUAGGCA